AACGAACGCUGGCGGCAUGCCUAACACAUGCAAGUCGAACGACACCUUCGGGUCUGGUUGCUCACGGGGGCGUAACGCGUGGGAAGCUUCCCUUAGGUUCCGGAUAACUCCCCUAAAGGGGGGCUAAUACCGGAUAAUGUCUUCGGACCAAAGAUUUGUCCAGCUGGUGGGGGCCCGAGUUGGAUUAGCUUGUUGGGAUGGUAAAAGCCUACGAAGGCGACGAUCCUUAGCUGGGCUCAGAGGAUGAGCCGCGACACUGAGACUGGGACACGGUCGGGAAUCUUACGCGAGGGAGGAGUGGGGGAUCCAGGAAUACGGCGGAAAUGAUGAUGGCGCAAGGGUGCGUGAGCGAUGAAGGUCGUAGGGUUGUAAAGCUCUUUUACACGGCAUGAUAAUGACAGUACCGGGAGAAUAAGCACCGGCUAACUUCGUG
rnacentral:rRNA from 1 species